rnacentral:lncRNA from 1 species
GUCACCUAAUGGCGCCUGGCAAUGGCCGGCGGCCCCGGCCCUUCGCUGUCCCUCGGUCCUCGGGGUGUCAGGGACAGCUCCGCGUCGCCUUGUCUCGCUUCUUCGGGGCCACGGGUCCAGCUAGACACGCUUAGCCUUUAACACUCAAGCCGGAUUCUCAGACCGCUCCUUCGCUCUCGCGACCACGGCUGCCCUCUCCACCCCACCGACUCCCGCCCAUUUCCCGUUCUCAGGAGUUGGCUUGGAGUGCCAGACCCUCGAUCACGGCACCUCUAGGAAAGAGCCUGCCUCUCUUCCUUCCCUUCCCCGGCUACCGAGCGACUUCAAGUUUUCGUGCGCCGGAAUGACGGGCUCAAGCCCCAACCUCCUGCUCCCUCCGCCGCCGCCCCUGCCCCUCUGACUCUGCGCCUCUCCUGCUGCUCGCAAGCCUCUUCCCACUUCCUUGACUUUUAUAAACCUCUCUACUGCCUCCACGCCGACCCUCCAGGAUUACUUUUCUCCAGCACCUCUGGCGGUGGGCAGGGAAGAAGCUUCAUUGGCCAAACUUGUUAAUCCCACUUCAAAAGUUGCUAAACCAUUUGGAGCAAGUACUGAAAAUGUUCAGGGUCUAAAAGAGAGUAACUAUUGUGACAAUAACUUAAAAGAUAAUCUUCAUGUCCCAACCUGUUUUCCUUAUCUCAUCCUUUUGGGCUUUCAAGGUAUUUCUGGUCCCAGUUUACGUUGGCCCCAGGCUAAAAUGUAGUCAGACAGGGCAGCCAUUGUUGACAGCAUCAGCAUCCAGGAUACCUGGGUGCCCUUUGGUGGUGUUAAGCAUUUAACCAACAAGGCAGGGGAUGGCUGUGAAAUAAAAGUGUUUUAUAUUUUUGGAUAGGCAAUCCAAGUAGUAAAUUUAAGGA